rnacentral:rRNA from 1 species
CCUAGUAACGGCGAGUGAAGCGGCAACAGCUCAAAUUUGAAAUCUGGCGUCUUUGGCGUCCGAGUUGUAAUUUGCAGAGGGCGCUUUGGCAUUGGCAGCGGUCCAAGUUCCUUGGAACAGGACGUCACAGAGGGUGAGAAUCCCGUACGUGGUCGCUAGCCUUUACCGUGUAAAGCCCCUUCGACGAGUCGAGUUGUUUGGGAAUGCAGCUCUAAAUGGGAGGUAAAUUUCUUCUAAAGCUAAAUACUGGCCAGAGACCGAUAGCGCACAAGUAGAGUGAUCGAAAGAUGAAAAGCACUUUGGAAAGAGAGUUAAAAAGCACGUGAAAUUGUUGAAAGGGAAGCGCUUGCAGCCAGACUUGCCUGUAGUUGCUCAUCCGGGUUUCUACCCGGUGCACUCUUCUAUAGGCAGGCCAGCAUCAGUUUGGGCGGUUGGAUAAAGGUCUCUGUCAUGUACCUCCUUUCGGGGAGAUCUUAUAGGGGAGACGACAUGCAACCAGCCUGGACUGAGGUCCGCGCAUCUGCUAGGAUGCUGGCGUAAUGGCUGUAAGCGGCCCGUCUUGAAACACGGACCAAGGAGUCUAACAUCUAUGCGAGUGUUUGGGUGUCAAGCCCGAACGCGUAAUGAAAGUGAACGGAGGUGGGAACCUUUCGGGGUGCACCAUCGACCGAUCCUGAUGUCUUCGGAUGGAUUUGAGUAAGAGCAUAGCUGUUGGGACCCGAAAGAUGGUGAACUAUGCUUGAAUAGGGUGAAGCCAGAGGAAACUCUGGUGGAGGCUCGCAGCGGUUCUGACGUGCAAAUCGAUCGUCAAAUUUGGGC